rnacentral:rRNA from 1 species
GACGAACCGUGCAAACGUUGUUCGGAAUCACUGGGCUUAAAGGGCGCGUAGGCGGGUCAUCAAGUCCGGGGUGAAAUCUUUCGGCUUAACCGGAAAAUAGCCUUGGAUACUGGUGGUCUUGAGGGAGGCAGGGGCAGCGGGAACUUCCGGUGGAGCGGUGAAAUGCGUUGAUAUCGGAAGGAACGCCGGUGGCGAAAGCGCGCUGCUGGACCUUUUCUGACGCUGAGGCGCGAAAGCCAGGGGAGCAAACGGG